rnacentral:lncRNA from 1 species
GUAGGGCAAUGUGAGUUACCCUCCUCUAUCUUGUUCUAAAAUAUUGGGACAAUGUUUAGUUCAAGCGUGGGGGAGGUUUAAUUAUGCUUUGAGUCUUUAUGUUUUCUUUUUAUAUUUUUUUAUUUUAUUAUUUCCCAUUUUAUUUAUUGUUUUCAAUUUGGUUUGUCUUUACUGUUGGGUAUCAUUUAUUACAUGUAUUUCAAGUUCUUGGUGUUAUUGUUGGAUUAGGCAUGACCAAUAAUGGUAGUGGAUG